GGGAAAUUAGCUCAAAUGGUAGAGCACUUUCUUAGCAUGUGAGCAGUAGUGGGAUCAAUGCCCACAUUCUCCA
rfam:Pelodiscus sinensis unplaced genomic scaffold scaffold607, whole genome shotgun sequence.